AGGACUGCCUGGCAGGUGUGAAAGGCAGCGGUGGCCACAGAGGCGGUGGAGAUGGCCUUCAGCGGUUCCCAGGCUCCCUAUCUGAGCCCAGAUUACAGGAACUGGCCUUAGGAGAUCCAAAAUAUCCAACCAAGGUUGCAAGUAUCCCACCUCAGGAAGGAAUGCUAAACAACUGAUUCAUACAGCCUUGCUGCCACUAACCAGAGCACCAGAUGGCCCAUUACUCAAGACAACCAUUGCCAGCAGAUAAGCUGACCCAUGUCCCCUCCCCCUCACGUUCUCUACCCUGCCCAGCCCGCAUUCCCUACCUUGACAUCAAUUUCCGCACAUUGCCUAAUAAAAGAAAUCCCUAUCAGCUCAUUUCAGGGAGUCAGCCAGAGAAUCCUCCCUCUCCUGUGCUUCCUCCCUUGUGCCUGGGCAUAUGCUCCAAUAAAGCCUUGCUAGGAAAACUCUUUUGGCCUGGUGAGAAUUUCUAUUGCAUCAAGAGCCUAAGAACCCAUGAUCGGUAACACUUUGAGCAAAGGAAAAGGUCCC
rnacentral:lncRNA from 10 species